rnacentral:misc_RNA from 1 species
AACGCACAUUGCGCCCCUUGGUAUUCCGAGGGGCAUGCCUGUUCGAGCGUCAUUUCACCAAUCAAGCACGGCUUGGUAUUGGGGGAACGGCCCGCGCCCCCCGGCGACGGGCCCCCCUCGAAAUCAUCGGCGAGGACACCGACCCCCGGCGUGUUAGAUUUUCUGACGUCAGGAGCACCGGUCGACCUCCGCCGUCGAACCUUCUUUCUCAAAGGUUGACCUCGGAUCAGGUAGGGAUACCCGCUGAACUUAA